CUACGGGUCGCACCAGUGGGGAAUAUUGCACAAUGGGGGGAACCCUGAUGCAGCAACGCCGCGUGGAGGAUGACACAUUUCGGUGCGUAAACUCCUUUUAUAUAAGAAGAUAAUGACGGUAUUAUAUGAAUAAGCACCGGCUAACUCCGUGCCAGCAGCCGCGGUAAUACGGGGGGUGCAAGCGUUACUCGGAAUCACUGGGCGUAAAGAGCAUGUAGGCGGGUAGAAAAGUUGGAAGUGAAAUCCUAUGGCUUAACCAUAGAACUGCUUCCAAAACUCUUUACCUAGAAUAUGGGAGAGGUAGAUGGAAUUUCUGGUGUAGGGGUAAAAUCCGUAGAGAUCAGAAGGAAUACCGAUUGCGAAGGCGAUCUACUGGAACAUUAUUGACGCUCAGAUGCGAAAGCGUGGGGAGCAAACAGGAUUAGAUACCCUUGUAGUC
rnacentral:rRNA from 1 species